GGUCUUGAUCAUUUAGAGACUUAUGAUUUUACUCUUUAAAAGAUACCUCACAUGGAAAGGAUAGUCGCUUCUUAUAUAAGCGAGAUUCUCUCUUGACUCUAAUCAAUUUGGGACUAAUGAUGCUCUUUCUUCUACACCACGAUAGUUUUCAUCGCGCAUACAUCACAUUUACACUAACAAAGCUCUAUCAAGUUUACCUCCGCUCUUUCUAACUCCUACAUAUCCAGCCAUAUCUCCUCGAAACAUACAAACUCACUCAUGAAGCCACCUCGCCU
rnacentral:lncRNA from 1 species